AUUGAAAAAAAAAAAUCACAGAAUAAGCCUUCUCUUGUUCAUCAAAUUUCACAAAAAUUUCAAAGUGAUGCCCAAAAGCACAAUUUGUUCUUCAAGUUUGUAAACCAUAACUCUAACAAGGAAGCAAAUGGCAGGAUGGUCACUUAACCAAGGCUUCUUUUCAUUCCAGUUUCUGCAUAUGCAUUGGACCAUGUUGGGUGAAGGAAUUAGAACCAGUAAGAAAUUUCCUAGGAGGGCUGUCAUCUGGCAUAGUUCUCCCGGUGCCGACCACAGAAGUUCUUCUUCCACUGUGUGUCGCCAGCAGCAACCGGAAUGUCCAGUUGAGAACACCUGGUGCAAAAACCCUAUACAGUAGGAAUAUAUCGUACCAGCUGGGGAACUUCACAUACUGAUCUCCUCGGCAGGCUCCGGCUACAAUCAACUUUGCAUAGUCUUCUACCGGGCCACUGGUUGCUUGAACCUAAAGUAAAAAAAUUUAUUAAUACAACUGUUACAUGUAAAACGGUUUUGUUAUCGGCAUUGUCAAAUGAGCCUUGGCGCACUAAGAGGGAAGUUGCUCCUACAUAACAGGAAUAGUGUGAUUUCUAAAGAGAACUCUAGAACAGAAUUGCUAUUACUUGGUGCCAAAAUGAUAUCCAAUGAGAACGAAAAUUCAUUAAUCUACUGUGACUUUGAUAGAUGUUUCAUUGAUUAUUCAAUUGUAAUGCAAGUACCAUUUGAGGGCAAUCAAUUAAAGUCUAUAAUGGUGGAGAUAUAUAUCUAAGCCACUGAGCAAAGACUUACUUCUCUUUCUUCAAUCCAUUGCAUCUCUGCGCCCUCCUCUACCCUGAACUUGCCUCUGCUCAUUUCACUUCCAAUCCAACCAUGUGUUGCGAUUGUUAUUCCAACUUCAGCAUUCAAUUCAAAUCUUAGCGUCUCGUAAAAGUUAACCAAUGCUGCUUUUGCAGCCUAGCAAAAUAAAAGGAACAAAAAAAGUAAUAUAUAUUAUAGGAAAUAUAAGAGGUAAGAAAUUAAUCAGAAAGAAAUUCAUAAAGGGAACAAAGAGCAAGAUGAAACCAGAAAACCAAGUUUAUUAACUUCCAUGUUAUCAUAAGUAAUAACCUCCAUCAAGGGCUUGCUCCCAUUCAAUCGUGACUAUCUUUUAAAGCAGAGAAUUGUCAAGCAUAAUAGUCAACAUUAUCAGAGUUACAGUCCUGUUUAAUUUUUCCUUUUCCAUAAAAGGGAUAUUCCCAGCUACAGAUCCAGUGGAGACGGUCCUAGAAGAUUAGAGCAUAUGGCUAUGAACCAUGACGUCGAGGAUUGGAAUCACUCCUUGCCCACAACCAGCCGAAAAGGAUUUUCCUUCUGGACGUGGGAAAAUCAUGAUUGGGCGAUUGGAGUUGCAUCCGAAUGUAUACAUAUUUUUAGCCCCUUCAGACAACUUAAUUGUAUGCCACCAAGUAAAUACAUAGAAACUAGACAGAGGUUUUCAGUUAAUGCUCUACAAGAAUAGCGCAAGCUAUAUACUCACAGCAUAUAAGCUCAUUCUUGGCAGAGGUAACCAGCUCUCAACUGCAGCAUUAACAAUGAUUCGUCCAUUAGUCUGAUGAAGGUAAGGAAGAGCAACAAAAGUUGGAUAAACGUUUCCCAAAAAAUUUAUGUCCUGCAAAAUUUGAUUCCACAAUAUUUUAGGACUAAAUCUUAUAAAACCAAGU
rnacentral:misc_RNA from 1 species